UACGUAGGCAGCAAGCGUUGUUCGGAAUUACUGGGCGUAAAGCGAGUGUAGGCGGUCCGAUAAGUCGGGUGUGAAAGCCCUGGGCUCAACCCAGGAAGUGCACUCGAAACUGCCGGGCUAGAGUAUCGGAGAGGUUGGUGGAAUUCUCGGUGUAGAGGUGAAAUUCGUAGAUAUCGAGAGGAACACCGGUGGCGAAGGCGGCCAACUGGACGAAUACUGACGCUGAGACUCGAAAGCGUGGGGAGCAAACAGG
rnacentral:rRNA from 1 species